CUUCGGGGCUGACGCUAACGUGUGCCCGCAGCUGGCGAGGGAUUGAAAGACCGAGGCCUGCUUAGGCCUCGUUCGUUUGUGUAGGAUUGACCCGUUCCGGGUGGAUUGUUGCGGCCCGUUUUCAAUCCAGAUAUGAAUUGGAAUGAUUGUUCGUUUUGGUUGGCCUGGAAAGAAAACUGGCCCGGCUUGGCCUUCCCCUACACUCCACGGCACGGAUCAUAGCCUCGUGUCUUACCCUCCGGAUCGGAUCCUGGAGGCCUUGCGAGCGACGGCUGGGGUUGAGGCGACGACGCAGUUGGCGGCGGCGCGAGUCGACGAGCGCGGCGGCGUGGCACAGCUUCGACGGCGGCCAUCUCCCAUCCAACGUCCACCGUCUCCGCCACCUUCUCGCCAAACAUUAAGGUCAACAAGCUUGUUAAAGGACGCCCAUUGGACAAAUUGGAAUUUCUUCAGUGGUUGAGAAGAUAUUGUGAUUCUGUAAACGGUGGAAUUACGAACGAGUAGGUGUAAAUCCUGAUCAUGUUUACGGUAAUAAAAAGUUGCCCCUUACAAAGGAUUUGAGAAUAAUUCAUCUGACCUUUGAUUAAGUGCUUGUCUAUAACUAAAUAACAAGGCUGCAUCUAGAAACCAUCAUUUUCUUUGUCGGUGUAGUUGGUUGCAUACUAUUCUGAAUAAAAUUGUCAUAAUCCCUAUUGUAUUUCUUUUAUUAAACCGAAAGAAUUCACCUCUCCCUUCCUCCUUAAAAUGGCCACACGGUCCUGUCACACUCACUCUAGCUCUCAAUCCCAUCUUACGCAAAUGACAACUUGUCCACCAGGUGAAGGCGAUACAUUCCUGUGUGGAUCCAUGCUUGGGGGACCGAAAUAUGAACCACUGAGGGUUCCUUUUUUAAAUUUUCCAGAGGAGUUGUCACGUCGCCUUUCUAGAUCAUUAUCUGAAUCACCUUUUAGAAUGCAGUGGAAGGUAAGAUUCUUCUCCCACCAGUGGAAAAUGGGCUAGCUGCGGAAAUUGCCAGGCUUCUUCCGGGUUCUAUUCGAAGAGACUCCAUGCUAAACUUUCUCUACUGGUCACAACUGUCACUACACUGAACCCAGCCUGCCCUUUUGGACCCCAUAUGAUCUUUGAUGCAAUAGCUUGGAUGCUAGGAAAGUUACAUGAAACCAUGAUCUUUCUUUUUCUUUACUUUUUUUUUAGUUCACACAGGACCGGGUCGAGAAUCGUCCCCGUAAAAGCAUGAAGGUGAAUCUGACCUGCAAGACGAAGCUCAAUGUAUAUGAUCAUCAUGUUCGGUUGUCCACGUGUAGUCAGCAGUGCGCCAUGACGCAAGUGGCUGCCCUGCCGCGCCAUGUCCAUGGAUGCCCCGGAAGGUGCUGGAAGGGAAGCCCGCUUGCUCUAUCUGGACACUGCGCUUGGAUUGGCUCGUAUCCUUGUGUGCAUUCAGUUCAUUCAGUUAGGCUCGAUUGCGACAUCAUGUCGAUGGGGGUGGCAAUGCAAGCUCCCCAAGUCUAGCACGAGGCUGUUACGGCACAUUUUGUCGUCUACGGAUGUUCUCUCCCCACGUUUUCCUACCUGCUCUGAAGAUGUGUCUUGACUAGCGUGUGUUUCUAUGAUCAGACACACAUAAAAUUUAUGGUUCUAUCUGCGUUUAACGAGAAGUGCUAGCAGUUUAUUGUA